GUUGGCCAGAAGGCAGCGGGGCCGCGUGCUCCGGCCGGCACGGCAGCUGCGCAGCCUGGGGCGGAAGGAGAGAGCGUUUUCUCCAAAAUCCUGCCAGGAGGGGCAGCGGAACAAGCAGGCAAACUGACUGAAGCGGUGUCGGCUUUCGGCAAGAAAUUCACUUCGUUCUGGUGAGAGAACAGCAUGAGGAGCUUGGGAAGCGAGUAGAGGUCUAGUCAUUGCAAGGGGAAAAACCUAUGAAGAAGCCAGUGACUUCAGCACGCAGCGUUGGACUCUGAGUAUAACACUUUUGAAAGCAGGGCAAUCCCUGGAUGCUGCAUUGUGUGGAGCAGACAGCGGCCGGAGCGGGGGCCUGGCGGAGGACCC